rnacentral:rRNA from 1 species
GACGAACGCUGGCGGCGUGCCUAAUACAUGCAAGUCGAGCGAAGUUUUUCUGGUGCUUGCACUAGAAAAACUUAGCGGCGAACGGGUGAGUAACACGUAAAGAACCUGCCUCAUAGACUGGGACAACUAUUGGAAACGAUAGCUAAUACCGGAUAACAGUAUUUCUCGCAUGAGAGAUAUUUAAAAGUUGGUUAUGCUAACACUAUGAGAUGGCUUUGCGGUUCAUUAGCUAGUUGGUGGGGUAAAGGCCCACCAAGGCGACGAUGCAUAGCCGACCUGAGAGGGUGAUCGGCCACACUGGGACUGAGACACGGCCCAGACUCCUACGGGAGGCAGCAGUAGGGAAUCUUCCGCAAUGGGCGAAAGCCUGACGGAGCAACGCCGCGUGGGUGAAGAAGGAUUUCGGUUCGUAAAGCUCUGUUGUUAGGGAAGAAUGGAUAUGUAGUAACUAUACAUGUAAGAGACGGUACCUAACCAGAAAGCCACGGCUAACUACGU